UAGGGAAUCUUCCACAAUGGACGCAAGUCUGAUGGAGCAACGCCGCGUGAGUGAAGAAGGUUUUCGGAUCGUAAAGCCCUGUUGUUGGUGAAGAAGGAUAGAGGUAGUAACUGGCCUUUAUUUGACGGUAAUCAACCAGAAAGUCACGGCUAACUACGUGCCAGCAGCCGCGGUAAUACGUAGGUGGCCAGCGUUGUCCGGAUUUAUUUGGCGUAAAGCGAGCGCAGGCGGAAGGAUAAGUCUGAUGUGUAAGCCCUCGGCUUAACCGAGGAACUGCAUCGGAAACUGUUUUUCUUGAGUGCAGAAGAGGAGAGUAGAAUUCCAUGUGUAGCGGUGGAAUGCGUAGAUAUAUGGAAGAACACCAGUGGCGAAGGCGACUCUCUGGUCUGCAACUGACGCUGAGGCUCGAAAGCAUGGGUAGCGAACAGG
rnacentral:rRNA from 1 species